UUAUUUGCAAGCAACGCCUUUAAUUCCAAAAGUGAAGGAAUUUAAAACUUAAAUUAAACGAUUUGUCCUUCAAACCAAAAACUGAUGUCCACGAGGCCACGUCUCACUCUGAGAUCCAAUCCAACAAAGCUGGUUUCGCGCCAACAGCACAGCGCUGUCCGGCAACGGACACGUGCUCCUCUUCCUCUGCGCGUGUCCGCUCUGAGCGCGCUCAUCUUCUCCUUUACUCAUCUUCUUCUUUACUUAUAGCCCUCCGCUCCUUCCUGCGAGCGCGUGGGCGAGGAUUGUUUAUUAAGCACACAGGAAUUAAUACAGAACACUGUGUGUGUGUGUGUGUGUGUGUGUGUGUGUGUGUGUGUGUGUGUGUGUGUGUGUGUGUGUGUGUGUGUGUGUGUGUGUGUGUGCGUGCGUGUGUGUAUUUGUGUGUGUGUGUGUGUGUGUGUGUGUGUGUGUGUGUGUGUGUGUGUGUGUGUGUGUGUGUGUGUGUGUGUGUGUGUGUGUGUCUCUGUUUGUGUGUGCCAGCGUGCAUGUGUAAAACUAUAUUUUUUAUUUUUAAGUCUAUUAUAGCAGCAUCGACUCUUUUCUAUAAAGCAAAAAUACAGAAUGAUGGAAAAAAUCAGGACACAAAGCUAAAUGUAUAUAUAAGAGCAUAUUUUAACGUUAAUUUAUUAAUCUGUUUUAUUUAAUAAUAAAACAAUUGAAUUUUUAUUUUAAAGUAGCGUUGGCCUCCAUAACUUGUGCAACGAUAAAUACACACACACACACACAUAUAUAAACAGACACACACGUCAACAGACAAACACACACACACCCACCCACACACAGAGACAUACAUGUAAACACACACACACGCACACAUAAAUAAUACAAAAUAGUAUACACACACGAACACACACACGUUAACCCACACACACUUAAAUAAUACAAAACAAUACAAACACACAUACACACAAACACAGAAGUGCUAAUUUCACGUAUGAGAAUGUCAGUGACUGUGAAGCCCUGCAUUAUUAUUAUGUCACUUCAGAUAGAGGUGUCUGCUGAGUGAGAAGAUACACAACAGCUACACACAGUG
rnacentral:lncRNA from 1 species